rnacentral:lncRNA from 1 species
CUAUUCUGGGGAGGGUGAAGACGCCGGGAGGAUUCCAGCUCCAGGGGCCAGCCCGCUGUGGCCCCAGUCAUGGGGAGGAGAGGCCGGGAGCGGCGCGGUGGGCAGAGUGGGGCCAUCUGGGUCCCCUGUGGCUUCUGGGCUGACCCUGGCACACGGGGCGCCUGCAGAUGGUUAUAUGGAAAGCAUAGCUGCUUCUGCUUCUGGAGAGACCCAGGAAGCUUCCAACCAUGGUGGAAGAUGAAGCGGGAGCAGGUGUCUCCCAUGGCGAGAGUGGGAACGAGAGAGACAGAGCAGGGAAAUGUGCAGAGCAAAUGGUUGGAGAGCGAAGUCCAGGCACAGGGGCCAUGAGAACCGGACCCCACACAGCUGCAGACCCUGACUCCGACCCAAACUGCAUGCGGCUGAGGACCCCCAAGCCAAGCAGACGCCAAUCCAGACCCCACGCGGCCGCGGACCCCAACCCAGACAGACCCCGACCCACUCGUGCAGCCCCCAGC